AUGCAGCUGUGGUCGGUCGAGGGGGCGGAGGAGGCCCUCGGCGACCGGUGCCGGGUCGACCGCCUCGACAGCAAGACCUACGACCAAGGGGACACGAAGACGUUCGGCGCCUGGGUCUGGGUGUGGGAUGUCGCCCACAUCCCAAUCAAGCGCACCCUGUGGAUCAUCAAGCGUGGCGCGGGCAGAACGGAGGAGAUGUACGGCUUCUCCCCCCCGAGCCGCGACGUCACGCCUCCGCCAUGGGUCCGCCGCAAGGACCUGCUCAUCCACGUCGACCUCGUCGAAGAUUGG
rnacentral:rRNA from 1 species